rfam:Geobacter lovleyi SZ, complete genome.
GGGGUUGUAGCUCAGUUGGUUAGAGUGCCGGCCUGUCACGCCGGAGGUCGCGGGUUCGAGCCCCGUCAACCCCG